rnacentral:lncRNA from 1 species
UUAUAGAUUUUAAUGCAUAUACUUACGAAUAAAAGGAAAAAGUUUGUAUUGAUUUUUAUAUUUAUGGUUCAAUUUAGUAUAUAAAAGUAUCAAUAUUAUAUAGUGAUUGAAUGUAGUGGAUUAACGAGUAAAUUCUAGACAGGCUUGUUCGAGACUUGGCGGGUCUUUUUCGAAAGUCUUGGAUGCCGGCAGCGACCGGGGAGAGGUCGUUGCAAUAUCUCAUCAUGCUUGACCUUAAGAUUUGAAGUCUGUAACUUGACUUGAGUUAUGAUCUUGAAUGAGAAAUUUAAAGUGUCAAGUUAGAACAUAAUAUAUUAUGGUGACAUAGUUGAAAUAUUUUUGAACAUACAUUUAAAUGUUAAUUAUGUCUUCUAUGAGCCUAAAUGACUACAUAAUCUAAAGACUUUGUGUAGAUCCAACUUGAGCUUAUUGGCUACCAAUUGAAUGUUAAAUUCUUGAAUUUUGACAAUUGGUAUUCAUUGAUGCUUGGAUGCUUACUUUAGAUAUAUUCAUAAGUUUAGUGCUUUCUUUAUCAAUAUACAAUGACAAGUACUAUUACUCAUGAAUUAUGGAACAUUAAGGAGUAGCGUGUAACUUGAACCUUAUUAAUCAUUAUUUUUGCAUUUACCAUUUUUUUUUAUAUAUGCAUAUGUUUCAUUGAAUGAUUUGAAAUCAUGAUUAGUGAAUAGAGCCAAAACCUUUCUUGCAAUCAUGCUUGUGCCUACUUGAUCAUGUCAUUUCUUUAUUUGAUUGCAAUAUGUGCUAAAUGCUUUGGCAAUGCUUCGUUGAUAAUGAUAUUAUUUUGAUGAGUAAACUUCUCCUAAAUUUGAUAAUUUAUACAUAAUCAGGAGAAUCUUUAUUGAAAUGCUUGCUUGAAAAUAUUAUGGAAUAAAGGUAACCAAAAAGGGCUAAAUGAUGAUAUUCUCAUGAUGACAUGCUUUUGUUGAGAAAAUUCUCUCAAAAAUUGUCAUUCUUAUAUUGUCAUGAUCUUUUGUUGAGAGAAUUUCUUUAAAAUGUUGAAUUGAUAGUGCUUGGACAAUGCAUGAUGAAAAUUGAAAAAGGUGCCUAAUGUAAAAUGAUAUUAGGGACAUGCAUUAGAGCAACUGUGCGCAAACUUCUUGAAAUUAUGAGUAUUUGAAGCAUAUAUUGAAAAUUUAUUUAAUAUUCAUGCUUUAUUAGCUCCUUGAAUAUAUGAGUGUGACAUUGACAUGUUGAAUAUUCACUGUAAAACUUCUCUAUGCUCAUGAUAUAUCCUUUUUUUGUCUCAUGACCUAUCUAAUAUAAGGUAAGAUUAUGCUUUAAUAUGAUUAACUAUUUAAUCCUUUCUCUUUGUUGGAAUUAAGUUUGUGAAUGCCUAAGGGAGAGAUGGCCAUUGACAUUGUGCUAUGAUUCUUGAACACUUGAAAUCUUCAACAAUGAUCUUGGCAAAAUCUUAACAAGUGGUGUUCAUCUCUAUUGGUAAUAUCUCUUAAACACUAUAUUAAAUUUAUGCUUAAUAAUGCCUCACAUUCGUGUUUGAAUGAUGAUUGCCAUACUUCUUAGUAUACUUGUUUACAUAUGAACUUGUGAAUAUAUUGGCAUGAUUGGUUGUGUAUUAAAUGUGUUUCUUUUUAGCUAAGUGCAUGAUUAAUUGAUUAUUUAGUUAAAUGAAUAUAUGAACAUACUAGCAUAUAAAGUGGCACACAUAUCAUUAAAUCAUGUUCAUGUUUAUAUAAACUUAUAAAUGUUUAAAUAUUUGACUCUGCUUCUAUGCAUAUAUGCAUAUCCAAAUUGACCUUAAAAGAUAAAAUGUCCAAACUUUGUUUAUAAAUAUACAUAUCUAUAUGUGGCAUUCUUAAUUGAUUGAUGAUAUACUCCUCAUUCACUUACAUGAAAAAUAUAUGAAAUGGAGAUAUAUCUUGAUUUCUUUAUGAUAUGUUGAUAUAUUCCAUAAUGCCUUGAUUGAAUAUCUUACAUGGAAAUAUAUCUUGGUUGAGAAUAUCUAUAUGUGCAAUGAUUGCAAUAUAUUUCUUCAUACUUUGCUUAACUAUCUUGAGAAGAAAUAUGCUACGAUCUUUGGAUGUGCUAAGUAAGUAUUUUUCCUUAUGCCUUAUUGAAUAUAUAUUGAUUAGGUUUAAUGCUCUCAUAUCAUGAUGAUUGGAUAUAUUUCUUGGUCUAUUGAUUGAAUAUUUGCAUGAAAAUAUAUCUCAAUGCUUUGAUUUGAUGAUUAGUGAUUGUUAUUGAACUUAAUGUUUAUCUAUAUUUAAUGAUUAUCACUAACCAUUAUCUCUUGAGUUUAAGUGCUUAAAGCUCACACUUCUUAACCUUUUGAAAUAACAAAAAGGAGGAAAAGGUUAAUGUGGACAUUGAAAUGUUCUUACAUUAACUAAAUUGCUUUGAAAACAUUUUUGAACUUCAUGCAUAUAUUAAAGGGGAGAAUCUUUCUAAAGUUCAUACUCCGCUUUUAUAUCCUUCUUUUUUAUACUUAAAUGUUUUCAAGGACAUAGAGGCUACUUAAGGUAGGGGAAGGUUUCAAGGACUUUCAAAUGCAAUAUGCUUAAGUUUUUGUCAUAUCAAAAAUAUGGAGAUUGUUAGACUUGAUUUACAUCAUAUUUUGAUUUGACAAAAGUUGUCGGUUUAAUACACGUAAGUGCACGUGACCGUACAAGUAAUAUAAAGUUAAGUUGAGUAUCGUUUCCCACAAAGAUUUG